rnacentral:rRNA from 1 species
GAGUUUGAAUCAUGGCUCAGGAUGAACGCUGGCGGCGUGCUUAACACAUGCAAGUCGAACGGUGAACACGGAGCUUGCUCUGUGGGAUCAGUGGCGAACGGGUGAGUAACACGUGAGCAACCUGCCCCUGACUCUGGGAUAAGCGCUGGAAACGGCGUCUAAUACUGGAUAUGUGACGUGACCGCAUGGUCUGCGUCUGGAAAGAAUUUCGGUUGGGGAUGGGCUCGCGGCCUAUCAGCUUGUUGGUGAGGUAAUGGCUCACCAAGGCGUCGACGGGUAGCCGGCCUGAGAGGGUGACCGGCCACACUGGGACUGAGACACGGCCCAGACUCCUACGGGAGGCAGCAGUGGGGAAUAUUGCACAAUGGGCGCAAGCCUGAUGCAGCAACGCCGCGUGAGGGACGACGGCCUUCGGGUUGUAAACCUCUUUUAGCAGGGAAGAAGCGAAAGUGACGGUACCUGCAGAAAAAGCGCCGGCUAACUACGUGCCAGCAGCCGCGGUAAUACGUAGGGCGCAAGCGUUAUCCGGAAUUAUUGGGCGUAAAGAGCUCGUAGGCGGUUUGUCGCGUCUGCUGUGAAAUCCGGAGGCUCAACCUCCGGCCUGCAGUGGGUACGGGCAGACUAGAGUGCGGUAGGGGAGAUUGGAAUUCCUGGUGUAGCGGUGGAAUGCGCAGAUAUCAGGAGGAAUCACCGAUGGCGAAGGCAGAUCUCUGGGCCGUAA